rnacentral:rRNA from 1 species
UACGUAGGGGGCAAGCGUUGUCCGGAUUUAUUGGGCGUAAAGAGCGUGUAGGCGGCCUGGAAGGUCAGCUGUGAAAACUCGAGGCUCAACCUCGAGACGUCGGCGGAAACCAUCUGGCUAGAGUCCGGAAGAGGAGAGUGGAAUUCCUGGUGUAGCGGUGAAAUGCGCAGAUAUCAGGAAGAACACCCGUGGCGAAGGCGGCUCUCUGGGACGGUACCGACGCUGAGACGCGAAAGCGUGGGGAGCGAACAGG